GCAAGAAAUGUAGCUGUUAUCAAGUUUAUUUUCCGUUUAGCAUGUUAUUCGCAAUAACUACAGAUAAUGCUUACACUUUCGAGGCCAUAUAUUGUAGAAAAAGUUACAUUGAAUUUUGAUUCUUGAUGAGUUUUCCAAAACGUCUCAGGUGUAAAUUUUCAAAACAUGUUCUUAAAAUAUAUGUUUUUGUUCCAGUUAAAACACACAUAUAUAUAUAAUGAUGUUGUGCUGUAAAAGAGUUUGAUUAAGACAGAUAAGAGAAGACAAAAAAACAUGAAAAUAACACGACAAACAAGUUACCUUUAGUAGCGACGGCUGUUGGGUUUACAGACAUUAUUACAGCAUUAAAGGUUCUUGUUUACUCAAACCACUCAAUGUUUAUAACACCGUCACAUUAUUUCACAAGCGUAUAUAUAUAUAUAUAUAUAUAUAUAUAAUUUACUGACAAUCCUUUAUGGUUACGAUUGCCCAAAAACAAUUACUACAAGCCUCAUCUAAUUACGAUAGCAUAUUGGAAUUUACUGACGACGCCGGUAUGCCGUAUACAAUUAACGAAGGCUCAGUGACAUUUUAUGAAUAAUCUAUACGAGAAAUUCAAUUAAAUCAAUUAUUCGCUCGGAGAAAAGCGAUCGUCAUUAAAGAUUCCAUAUAGAGGUAGAAGCGCGGUCAAGGAGCGCCGAGUCGACGCGAGAUCCUGCCUCCGACUGGCCAGCGUUGCCCGUGCCGCGCCGCCUGCCAGCGUGGGGUGGCCGGGGUGGGCGCGCACCGGCGGCAGGGGGCAGGAAGCACAGCCUCCAACCAGUAAUAAUUAUUAACACAAUACAAAAGAAGCCAAUGUACAUGGAAAUGUAAGCAAACACAUUACGAGCAGGCAACAAACGUAUCAAAAUAAGAACUUGAAGCUCAAGGCCACCUACAGAAAAGUGACAAACAAGCAGCACUCCGCCAGAUAUACAUACAUCUGGUAUAUCUAUAUUAAAUGCGAGUAGGAUCAUCUGCCGAAGGCCGGAAACCCGAAGACCACGAAGGACCAUAGGACGUUUAUACUAUAUUACUCCUUAGUAAACGCAUCUUUUGUAUGUACGCUUUGCAAAAACUUUUUAAGCGUCCGAUUAAAGUGUUCACUUAUUCGUUUUUAAUU